UAGCCAGACUCCUACGGGAGGCAGCAGUGGGGAAUAUUGCAUAAUGGGGGGAACCCUGAUGCAGCGACGCCGCGUGGGUGAAGGAGUAUUUCGGUAUGUAAAGCCCUAUCAGCAGGGAAGAACAAUGACGGUACCUGACUAAGAAGCACCGGCUAAAUACGUGCCAGCAGCCGCGGUAAUACGUAUGGUGCAAGCGUUAUCCGGAUUUACUGGGUGUAAAGGGAGCGCAGGCGGCGCGUUAAGCCUGGUGUGAAAGCCCGCGGCCCAACCGCGGGACUGCAUUGGGAACUGGCGCGCUGGAGUGCCGGAGGGGUAGGCGGAAUUCCUAGUGUAGCGGUGAAAUGCGUAGAUAUUAGGAGGAACACCGGUGGCGAAGGCGGCCUGCUGGACUGCAACUGACGUUGAGGCUCGAAGGCGUGGGGAGCAAACAGGAUUAGAUACCCGAGUAA
rnacentral:rRNA from 1 species